GAUGAAGAACGUAGCGAAAUGCGAUAAGUAAUGUGAAUUGCAGAAUUCAGUGAAUCAUCGAAUCUUUGAACGCACAUUGCGCCCCCUGGUAUUCCGGGGGGCAUGCCUGUCCGAGCGUCAUUACAACCCUCAAGCUCAGCUUGGUAUUGGGCCCCGCCGACCCGGCGGGCCCUAAAGUCAGUGGCGGUGCCGUCCGGCUCCGAGCGUAGUAAUUCUUCUCGCUCUGGAGGUCCGGUCGUGUGCUCGCCAGCAACCCCCAAUUUUUUUCAGGUUGACCUCGGAUCAGGUAGGGAUACCCGCUGAACUUAAGCAUAUCAAUAAGCAGGA
rnacentral:misc_RNA from 1 species